rnacentral:rRNA from 1 species
CCUACGGGAGGCAGCAGUCGAGAAUCUUCCGCAAUGGGCGAAAGCCUGACGGAGCGACGCCGCGUGUAUGAUGAAGGCCCUAGGGUUGUAAACUACUGUCACGUUAUAGGAAUACUGACCAAAACGAGAGGAA